ensembl:snRNA U6 U6 spliceosomal RNA
AUGCUUGCUUUGGCAGCAUCUAUACUAAAAUUGGAAUGAUACAGAGAAGAUUAGCAUGGCCCCUGCGCAAGGAUGACACGCAAAUUUGCGAAGUGUUUUAUAUUUUU